UUUUUAAAUAUUUAUUCUAAUCUUUAAUUCUUAAAAUGUUUUUUCUAAAAAUACAAGCAAAUGUUCCAGAGAUUCAGAGAUAUACAGACAAUACAUGAUUUCAAGUAAUAAUAUCCUGUUAAAUUUUAUGAAUAUUUAAUAAAUAAUAACACAUAUUUAUAAUUUUAUUACUUAUCUUUCAAUAAUUUAAAAAUUCUUUAUAUCCUUUGGAUUUAACCACCUUCUGUGCAAACCACCAAUUACUUUAAUAAUAUAAAAUUAUAUUAUGUAUUACAUAUCAUAAUUAUUAAUUUUAUAAAUUCUUUAUUUAUAUAUACUCACGUUUUAUUGCACAAAGAAGAAACGCACCAACCAGCACAAGGUUAAAAAUCCUUCACCUAUAAAUUAAUGUAAAAUUAUUAACAUCAAACGCAGUAAAAUAAAAUUCAAACUAUAUUAAUCUGUCUGUUUUAUCAAUAAUAUAAACUUUAAUAUAAACUUUAAUAUAAAUUAACCUAGACAUGUCAUCAAGAAGAUUUUUAUUAUAAAUUAACUACAAAUAGACAUUGACCGACACAAAUACCUAGACAUGUCAUCAAGAAGAUAUCGAAGAAGCAUUAAGAAAGAAUAAUACACAUCCUAAUUCCCUUUUUAAAUAAUCAUAUUCUGUAUUUCCAGAUUUUUGACAUAUCCAAAAAUUUGUAUCGGUCAAUGUAUUUAUAAAAUAACGUGAACGUUAUAAAAUAAUGUAUAAAAUUACCUUCUUAUCGCUGAAAACUACAAUCUUUUCGUCAUACGAAUAAUGCAAGCCACUACCGUGUCUCCUCACAAUAACAGAUACAAUCACUAACAAUAAAAUUAAUGAUUGAUCGUACACAACCACUUUCAGAAAACGCGUUAUCAGCGCCAUGAUGUCAGAAAGUACAUGCACUCUUUCUGAUUAUCGACUUAAAAAAUCCCUGUAACACCAUAUAUCAUCUAAAAGUCACGUGAGUCGCAAGUGGCUCGCUCGCGCCAACUUGCUCAUGCCACCUGCUCGCUCGCGCCACGCGCCAGCUCACGUCAAGUGAUAUGUAGUGUAUUGAUGGGUUACUGGGUCACUAGUGGCUCGCUCGCUUCACGCGCCAACUCACGUCAAGUAAUAUGUCUACCAUGCAUUCGGGAUACGCUAUUAGCGUUAUCAGUGUCAGCCUAUCUUCAUAAAAAACAAAAAUAAACUUGCUGACAGCGCUAAUAGCGUCUCCCCAAAUGCAUCUAUAGCGUGAGAUUGUUUUGAGGUAACUACUAAAACACUCUAUUUUGUCAAACAAAGAUGCACUUCUCGAAAAAAUUAGUACACCCACGAAAAAAGAAACAUAAAAGAGGAUUACAAAAGUACAAAUAUUUCAAGACGCAAAGCAUUUGCAUUGUGUAAUCAAUUAUCUUUUCUUGACAAUUUCAUUAAAAGAAAAAGAUGCACCUUUUUAAAACGUUGCCCAUGUGAAACGCCGAUGAUAAAGUUAUUUCAUCGUUUUUGAGUGACUACCAUACAUCAGUAAUUAAAUUUUUCAGAAGUGCUAAGUAAAUAAAGGAGAAACGUUUUAAUAAAUCCAAAUUAAAUAAUAUAUGCCAGAUUUUGUAAAUACAAAAAUUCAAGCAAUUAUUUACGUCGCUGGUCGUUGGUCGCACUCGUUGGCUGCCUAGGCUCUUGUUGUAGCUCCUGCUUGCUCGUCCAGUUGUAAGCUCGGCCCCGGUUCUGGGUUGGAUCACUUUCGUUCUAGUUGCAAGCCCAAUAUCGGUUGUGAACUCGACCUCGACGUCCGGUUCUUUUGUCGUUCUUGUGCAAAUACAAUUAAUUUGUAAUAAAUAUAACAUUUUUAUUCAAUAAAUAGAUUGUAUUAUAUUUAUUCUUUGCAUAAACACCUUUACAAAAUUAUGUUGUCACACCAUACUUUGCCUGUAUCUAUAUUAAAAUAUACUUUAAUUUUAUAUUUUAGACAGGCACGUUUCGCUAUCUAUCUUAUGAUAAAACGUCACGCUCUUUUUGCAUUAGAAUAUCAUUUAUACUGUUACACCACUUGUAAAUAUGUUUCCAACAUUAACGUUGUAUGAUGUACGUAAGACACUGUUCAUUUUUAGUGUUAAUAGAUCCUCGGUGAUCACAAAUUAGGACAUUCUUACGUAUACUACAUUUCUUUGAUACGUAAUUAUUAAGAAUAUUUGCUGCAAUAAAGUUGCAAAUGUCAAGGUAAUCACGCGUUGUAUCAAAGAAAGAUAUUAUAUUAAUUUCUCCAC